rnacentral:rRNA from 1 species
ACUCCUACGGGAGGCAGCAGUGGGGAAUCUUGGACAAUGGGCGCAAGCCUGAUCCAGCCAUGCCGCGUGAGUGAUGAAGGCCCUAGGGUCGUAAAGCUCUUUCGCCAGGGAUGAUAAUGACAGUACCUGGUAAAGAAACCCCGGCUAACUCCGUGCCAGCAGCCGCGGUAAUACGGAGGGGGUUAGCGUUGUUCGGAAUUACUGGGGCGUAAAGCGCGCGUAGGCGGACUGGAAAGUUGGGGGUGAAAUCCCGGGGCUCAACCCCGGAACUGCCUCCAAAACUCCCAGUCUUGAGUUCGAGAGAGGUGAGUGGAAUUCCGAGUGUGAGGUGAAAUUCGUAGAUAUUCGGAGGAACACCAGUGGCGAAGGCGGCUCACUGGCUCGAUACUGACGCUGAGGUGCGAAAGUGUGGGGAGCAAACAGGAUUAGAUACCCUGGUAGGAUAGCG